rnacentral:rRNA from 1 species
UACGUAGGGGGCAAGCGUUGUCCGGAUUUAUUAGGCGUAAAGAGCGUGUAGGCGGCUUGACAGGUCUGCUGUGAAAACUCGAGGCUCAACCUCGAGAUGUCGGCGGAAACCGUCUGGCUAGGGUCCGGAAGAGGAGAGUGGAAUUCCCAGUGUAGCGGUGAAAUGCGUAGAUAUUGGGAGGAACACCAGUGGCGAAGGCGGCUCACUGGACCGGAACUGACGCUGAGGCGCGAAAGCGUGGGGAGCAAACAGG